rnacentral:lncRNA from 1 species
CUUUUUUUCUUCCUGGUCCAAUAUUUUUUCUCGAAAGUCUUCGUUUCCGUGUUGGAAUAUACACUUAUUAUAUUAGUUUAUAUUAGUAGACGAGAUUUUACGAAAUGAGAAAAAGAAGUUAGCGGAUUAUGAUGCCCUAUUAGAUAGCCCAUGCCUUGCAAACGAUUAUUUCUAAUUAGACUGUGACAGCUGCUUUGCUGAUAAAUUCAAACCUUGUUGAGCCACGCCAAACAAAGGGAUCGUACUCACUAAUGGAUCGCCUG